CAUUUAUUUUCAACUUUACAUAUCUAACAAACAUAAGCUUUAUUUUGCAGCCGCUUCAUUUACACAACGUCCAAAUUUCCAAUCAAUGCGUCCAGUUCGAUCCAAUGUUACAAAAACCAAUCAAAUCAGUGCAAAUGUUCGUUAUGGCGCCUCGUUGACACUAAGCAAACUACAUUCCACACUCGCUUCAUCAACAUCACCUAUCCCGUCAUCCACGUUGAUCUCUCACUCAGCAGAAUUACCCACCAGCUACCCAGAGUUCAGAGUGCGGCGGCCACGGACGAGUAGUUGCACAAUUUCCGCAUCAUCACACUCCUCUCUCAGUGUAUUCAGGCCGUGUUCAUAAUGUAGGUGACUUCGCAUGACCUAGUACAACUGCAGGGCGGCGCAAUCCAUCGAACAGCACGAAUCACGUCAACAACAGGCCCGGCAGGAUUAUCGGUCACAGGCAGGGGACAAACAUCCGGUCGGGAAAAAUCGAGCAUUUCAGACGGAUAUUAUGCCGGUCACUUGUGCCCACCUACUACUGCGAGUCCUGUCCUUCCAAGCUAUAUAGCACAGUAAGAGAAGUCUAUAGUUAUAUGCGAAAGCGCGGCUCCAGGCAAAUUAACAUUUCAGACUCGAUUAACUUUUUUCGUCGUUUUCCCCCAUUUGACUGGCUGGCUGGCUGAUGCCGAGCUGACCCGAGGCUCCCGAUUGUAGUCGCCCUAUAUAAACAGCAGCCGGGUUUAUGCAUUCAUAACAUACAGGGAGCACAUGAAUAUGUGAAAAAUAUGUAAGUCAGGGAUCCUCCACGGUGCCUCCUACUUUCAACCCAGGUCAAUUUAUAUUUUAUCUUUCAACAUACAGUUUUACAACACGCGCGAGCUGGGAACAGCUAUCAUUGUUAUGAGCAGAUCGACGAAAUAUUGUGCAGAUUGAGGAUCGAGGGCCGAAGAAUGUCAGCGAUUUUGGAGGAGAACGCAGCAACCCGGCAGAACGUGGAACGUUACAAACAGAAGCGGAAACAGCAGACCCGCCUCGUUCUGAGGGAAAAAGCGCCGCCUGGAAGAAGCGGAGUGCGAGGAAGUGGAACUGCUGUACCGUUCUCAUGAAACAUGGAAGUUCUAAGAGAAGCUCAACGCUUUCCACAACACCUUCAUGCCGCGAGCCGAAAUAUGCAGGCGAAUUGAUGGAGUCCUCUUGACAGACGGACGUGAGGUGAUCGAAAGCUAGAAGCAGCACUUCAACGAGCACCUGAAUGGCGUGGAUGACGUAGGCACAGGAGACCACGACAAUGGAGGGAACGACUACGCUAAUGCAGCAGUAGACGGAAAUAAGUCAACUCCCACGCUGAGGGAAGUUAAGGAUGCCAUUGAUUAGCUCAGAACCAACAAAGCAGCUGGUAAGAAUCAAGAUGGGCCCAGAAAAUUUGGCCACAUGUCUGCACCGGUUGAUAGUCAGGAUCUAGGAAAUCGAACAGCUACCGGAGGAGUGAAAGGAAGGGGUACUCUGCUCCAUUCAUAAGAAAGGCGACCAUUUGGAAAUGUGAGAACUUCACAGCGUUCACAAUUUUGAAUGAUGCCUAAAAAGUGCUAUCCCAGAUCAACUUCCGUCGUCUGUUACCUAAAACGAAUGAGUUCAUGGGAAGUUAUCAAGCCGGCUUCAUCGACGGCCGGUCGACAACGGACCAAAAUUUCACUGUACGGCAAAUCUUCCAGAAAUGCCGUGAAUAACAGGUUCCAACGCAUCACCUGCUCAUUGACUUCAAAGCGGUGUACGACAGUAUAAACCGCACAGAGCUAUGGAAAAUCAUGGACAAAAAUGGCUUUCCUAGAAAACUGACUAGACUGAUUAAAGCAACGAUGGACGGUGUACGUACACAACUGCGUAAGGGUUUCAGGUGAACUAUUCAGUUCAUUCGAAUCUUGCUGGGAGACUGUGACGGCUAGUCUUCAACAUCGCUCUGGAAAGUGUAAUGAUGACGAGACGGACUCAACAGCCGGGGUACGAUUUUCACUAAAUUCGGUCAAUUUGUAGGCUUUUCGGACGACAUGGAUGUUAUCGCCAGAACAUUUGGAACAGUGCCAGAGCUGCUCACCCACCUAAACGUAAAGCGGCAAUGGUCGGCCUAGUGGGGAAUGCGUUAAAAUGUUAAUACACGCUAUAGUACGUGUAACCGAGCACUACAGGAUUUGUCUAGGGAGUAACGUUACGAUAGACGGAGAUAGAGUAAAGUGGGGCAAAAGUUCGAGUGGGGCAAGAGUUUCUUUUGGAGUUUUUGAGCUCAAUUCAAAUGAUUUCUUUCUGGUGUCAAGGUUGUUCGAAGCCUUUUUGAAAAAGAGACUUUCACUCCAAAAAUUAUGAAAAUUGAUCAAUAUUUCGAAAAGUUAUGAUAAAAUGUUGGUUUUUGAUAAAAAAAAAUUGUAAUAUGCGAUGGUCCUUCCAACGCAUGGAAUGGAAUUGUAAUGAAAUCGAAUUCGAUAUUUUAUUUUGGGGGGUAACUAGGUAUAUUUUGAAGAUGCUUUAGCAUGUAUAACUUUUUGCAAAAAAGAUUUGGAAAUCAUAUUUUACUCAUAGUGGGGCAAAAGUUCGAAUUGUGGGGCAAGAGUUCGAGUCAUGUGGUAAGUUUAGGUAAAAACCUCAAAUUCUGCAAAAAGUCUAUAUUAUCUCUAAAAAUGAUGGAAUUAGUGAGAAAAUUCGAUCAAAAUUGAAAAAAAUGUUGUGUAUCUGAAUUUUGGCGGAAAACUACUCAUUUUAGGUGUAGUAAAUUUAACCCUGAUUUGGGUAAAAUCCAGAUCGAACUUUAAAGUGUUUUCCAGUCCCAACAUCAAAUAUUAAUUGGUUUCAAGUAUUCCUAUUAUCAAAGUGUCAAAAUAGUGUGCUACAGUUGGCGAAAUUCCACAAACACUAGAUUCGAACUUUUGCCCCAGUGGUGGGGCAAGAGUUCGAAUAAGACACACACAUACAAAAAGUAUUGUAACUUAAAAUUAUAAAGACAUUUGUUGUAACUUUGUCCAGCAAAGUUUCAGAUUAUGGAUGGUAGAAUCACCAGACGCUAUUCAUUUAUUUAUAUCUGCUUUGAUUUUUUGAAAAAUAUUGAAUUUUCAACUAGGGUUGAACUUUUGCCCCACCUUACUCUACCUUUAAAUGUAGUGUAGAAAUUCAUCUACUUCGGAUUCUUACUAACGACCGGCAACUAUGCCAGUCGUGAAAUACGAAGACGUAUCAUCAGUGGAAGAAGUGCUUACACAGCAAAAAAAUCUUAAAUGUAAUGGUCACGUAAACCAUAAAGUAAUGGAAACUAUAUUCAUGUAAUUCAGAAUCUAAUGUAACAUUUCAUCAUAUAUGAUGCACAUGGAUGGCAAAAUAUGCAAUGAUUAACAUUCUGGUAUGUUGAAACGAAAUCUAUGAUGAAGUAGUAUCUUUAUGACAGUGAACAUUGCACAGCAAAAAAAUCUUAAAUGUAAUGGUCACGUAAACCAUAAAGUAAUGGAAACUAUAUUCAUGUAAUUCAGAAUCUAAUGUAACAUUUCAUCAUAUAUGAUGCACAUGGAUGGCAAAAUAUGCAAUGAUUAACAUUCUGGUAUGUUGAAACGAAAUCUAUGAUGAAGUAGUAUCUUUAUGACAGUGAACAUUGUAUAUUGCGAGCCAACUUCAUAUUCACAUAAAAUAACUACGAACAUUACAUGAUCGUAACGUAAAGAUAUGCCCGUCCAGCUGCACCCGUGACGAGCAGGGGCGUACAAUUUCGUUUCAAUGAUACACUUUCAUGCAACAUUUGAAUGAGUCACUUCAAGUGUUUCAUACAUUUUUCUAAUGACUCGGUCGUUAAAAAAAACUUUUCCACUCAUCGUAGCACUCGGUAGUCUCCCACCCGGUCGCAUUGCUUGUGCUUCACCCGUCAGAGCAUUAGUGUCUCACUGGUGCGCGCUAGUCUCUCAAUGGUUACGGGCGCCGGUUAAUUGGAUUUAAGUGGUCGAAUUUGUUAUCCUCUUUCAUAAAACAUAAUUAUCAUUCUAUUGGCGUGCACCACUAUUUAAAAAUGUGGUUUAAAUAGUGUUUUUAGCAUGUUGAAAUAUUUCAAUGACUCAUAAAUGAAACGAAAAUCCAAGUGUAUCAUCUCAUGUUUCAUACACACUUGUUUCUGUAGCAGCAACGAACGAGUGUGUUGCUGGGUGAGAGAUGAAGCAUCACAGCAGUCCGUUCGCAUGGGAAACGAUUUGCUACAGUCGUCGUACGUCAUGUUUUCCUUUCGAAAUUGCACGACCCUGGUGACGAGCGAAACAAAACAAACAUGGCUCCCGUGUGUGAACCGUUUGCUGCGGUGAAAUUUCAAUUUCACAGGAUUUUAUUAGGAAUUUCAUCCAAAGCCACAAGGUGCCUGGAGGAACAACGUUAAAUGUAAUGUAUCCUGCCUUUCAAGAAGAUUCAGCUCGACGGUGUUUUCACAUUUCGGGGUACGGCUGGUGCUGCUGCAGAACGGAACAUCAUGAAAAAUAGUGUUUUAAGUAUGCGCAUUAACAAUUGUAAUUAGUUAUGAGUGAAAAUAAAAACAUCGAUGUUCAAUUUGAUCACCCGCCAAUUGUUUUUUUUUGUUUUUCAUAAUAAUAGUGACAUUUAUUUUCAUCCUGCUGUGCCAGUACAAAAGUUUACGUUGUUGGAUAUGAAUUUUACAUGACAUAGAAAAAUAUAAUGUCAUGUAAAGGCACAUCAUUUAUCACGCUCCAAUUAUGUGCAUUAUAUAUAAUGUAAUAAUACAUUUAUUUUUCGAACUGUGUGUAUAUUGCGAGCCAACUUCAUAUUCACAUAAAAUAACUACGAACAUUACAUGAUCGUAACGUAAAGAUAUGCCCGUCCAGCUGCACCCGUGACGAGCGAAACAAAACAAACAUGGCUCCCGUGUGUGAACCGUUUGCUGCGGUGAAAUUUCAAUUUCACAGGAUUUUAUUAGGAAUUUCAUCCAAAGCCACAAGGUGCCUGGAGGAACAACGUUAAAUGUAAUGUAUCCUGCCUUUCAAGAAGAUUCAGCUCGACGGUGUUUUCACAUUUCGGGGUACGGCUGGUGCUGCUGCAGAACGGAACAUCAUGAAAAAUAGUGUUUUAAGUAUGCGCAUUAACAAUUGUAAUUAGUUAUGAGUGAAAAUAAAAACAUCGAUGUUCAAUUUGAUCACCCGCCAA